GUCAGGGACCUCAGGUGGCUGAAUUCAGAAGAGAGCUGCUUUCUGCUGGUGGCCUGAAACAAAGGGAACUUCUUGACACAGAUUUAGCCCAAAUCCUGGAAACAAGAACUGGGAAACACCAGUUAAAGUGGAUGGAUUGCUUUGAGCCAAGUAGCAGAAGAAGCAAACUCAUUCUUCUAGGACCGAGUACUCCAGAACCUCUGGACGCAACCGCAGGUUGACGUGUGAUGCUGAGACCGGUCGAAGUCGGGUUCUUCUGCGCUGACUCAUGCUUUCGGAACCAUGGAUUAGAAAGAGUCUUUGUGGAACCAUUGCGUUCAGCUUUCCGGAUAAAUAUCCAAACUGGGAUGGCGGGUCACCUUUCCACUGCCCAUGGGAAGGUUUUCUGAAGACUUCAAGUUACGUGAGUUCAGUCACUGCAAGAGAUGCCACACCAGCCAGGUCUUCAGUGUGAGAGCCGCCUGCCAGUGGACAGCAGCCCCAGGAAAAGAUGCCUCUGGGAACUCUGCCUCAUGGCCCAGCACUUCAGAGAAAGGCCCCAUCCUGCGCCCGUCACCCCUGUGGCCACCAGAGACAGAGGUGAUGAAGUGCCAGCUCUGAGGACGCAACCAUGGACCGCUGUGUCUGACC
rnacentral:lncRNA from 1 species